rnacentral:rRNA from 1 species
AUUGAACGCUGGCGGCAGGCCUAACACAUGCAAGUCGAGCGGAUGAAGGGAGCUUGCUCCUGGAUUCAGCGGCGGACGGGUGGGUAAUGCCUAGGAAUCUGCCUGGUAGUGGGGGAUAACGUCCGGAAACGGGCGCUAAUACCGCAUACGUCCUGAGGGAGAAAGUGGGGGAUCUUCGGACCUCACGCUAUCAGAUGAGCCUAGGUCGGAUUAGCUAGUUGGUGGGGUAAAGGCCUACCAAGGCGACGAUCCGUAACUGGUCUGAGAGGAUGAUCAGUCACACUGGAACUGAGACACGGUCCAGACUCCUACGGGAGGCAGCAGUGGGGAAUAUUGGACAAUGGGCGAAAGCCUGAUCCAGCCAUGCCGCGUGUGUGAAGAAGGUCUUCGGAUCGUAAAGCACUUUAAGUUGGGAGGAAGGGCAGUAAGUUAAUACCUUGCUGUUUUGACGUUACCAACAGAAUAAGCACCGGCUAACUUCGU